rnacentral:lncRNA from 1 species
GGGGUAGGGAAAGUAUUCAAUAGUCCUAUGAUUAGGUAUCAGUCUUUUAGUGAACCUGUGCCCUGGGCUGGGACCUUCACAAGUACUUCUCACUUCUCUACUCUCACCCCUUAGAUAAGAGACAGGAAUGCUACAGGGAGUUGAAAUUGGGUAUUUCCCUUCCCCAGGUCAGUAAGGCUCUAGUAAAAUAGUUUCCUUUGAUGAUGACAUUCAUUAAAGAAAAAGGAAUGCUCUGGGCAUAUUUCAAAUGAUUUCUUUCCCUGUGCUCUUGUCCUAAGCAGGAGAGUUUUCUCACGGUAACUCCCUGAGAAUCUGUUGGGACUGCUGGAGUUAAAACUCACGUAGAUGUGGGAGCCUCCCUAAGACUGGCCUCCUUGGAGUUUUUAACUCUCAAGCUUGUCCACACUGAGGCUUCAGCAAUUCAUCCGUUACAGCAUAAGUUCUCCCACCGUACUUCUGGGUCCAGCAGCAGGCAUCUGUUCCUGAACUUCUGCUCUGAUCAGAAUCAGGAAACCCUACACUUUAAAGAUGAGAGGGGAAAACAUGCGAAGAGAGAGAGGCCACGUCUGAAGACUUGAGAGAGAAAAAAGGGGCUGGAAGCAGCAGAUCAAUCAUCAAGGUGAAAACUUAAAAG